GAUGAACGCUGGCGGCGUGCCUAAUACAUGCAAGUCGAGCGAACAGACGAGGAGCUUGCUCCUCUGACGUUAGCGGCGGACGGGUGAGUAACACGUGGAUAACCUCCCUAUAUGACUGGGAUAACUUCGGGAAACCGGAGCUUAUACCGUAUAAUAUAUUGAACCGCAUGGUUCAAUAGUGAAAUACGGUUUUGCUGUCACUUAUAGAUGGAUCCGCGCCGCAUUAGCUAGUUGGUAAGGUAACGGCUUACCACGGCAACGAUGCGUAGCCGACCUGGGAGGGUGAUCGGCAACACUGGAACUGGGACACGGUCCAGACUCCUACGGGAGGCAGCAGUAGGGAAUCUUCCGCAAUGGGCGAAAGCCUGACGGAGCAACGCGGCGUGAGUGAUGAAGGUCUUCGGAUCGUAAAACUCUGUUAUUAGGGAAGAACAAAUGUGUAAGUAACUAUGCACGUCGUGACGGUACCUAAUCAGAAAGCCACGGCUAACUACGUG
rnacentral:rRNA from 1 species